GUGUCAACGGUAACGGAAUGAGCGUAGCGAGUGAGUAUAAGGAGUUGAUACAGU
rnacentral:sRNA from 1 species